CUCCAGAUUUUUGUUUCUGCUCAGGAUGAACGCUGGCGGCGUGCGUAAUACAUGCAAGUCGAACGCUUUGUGGUUCAACUGAUUUGAAGAGCUUGCUCAGAUAUGACGAUGGACAUUGCAAAGAGUGGCGAACGGGUGAGUAACACGUGGGAAACCUACCUCUUAGCAGGGGAUAACAUUUGGAAACAGAUGCUAAUACCGUAUAACAAUAGCAACCGCAUGGUUGCUACUUAAAAGAUGGUUCUGCUAUCACUAAGAGAUGGUCCCGCGGUGCAUUAGUUAGUUGGUGAGGUAAUGGCUCACCAAGACGAUGAUGCAUAGCCGAGUUGAGAGACUGAUCGGCCACAAUGGGACUGAGACACGGCCCAUACUCCUACGGGAGGCAGCAGUAGGGAAUCUUCCACAAUGGGCGAAAGCCUGAUGGAGCAACGCCGCGUGUGUGAUGAAGGGUUUCGGCUCGUAAAACACUGUUGUAAGAGAAGAAUGACAUUGAGAGUAACUGUUCAAUGUGUGACGGUAUCUUACCAGAAAGGAACGGCUAAAUACGUGCCAGCAGCCGCGGUAAUACGUAUGUUCCAAGCGUUAUCCGGAUUUAUUGGGCGUAAAGCGAGCGCAGACGGUUAUUUAAGUCUGAAGUGAAAGCCCUCAGCUCAACUGAGGAAUUGCUUUGGAAACUGGAUGACUUGAGUGCAGUAGAGGAAAGUGGAACUCCAUGUGUAGCGGUGAAAUGCGUAGAUAUAUGGAAGAACACCAGUGGCGAAGGCGGCUUUCUGGACUGUAACUGACGUUGAGGCUCGAAAGUGUGGGUAGCAAACAGGAUUAGAUACCCUGGUAGUCCACACCGUAAACGAUGAGUGCUAGGUGUUUGAGGGUUUCCGCCCUUAAGUGCCGCAGCUAACGCA
rnacentral:rRNA from 1 species